rnacentral:rRNA from 1 species
GCGAAAACUUUACAAUGCUGGCAACAGCGAUAAGGGAACCUCGAGUGCCAGGUUACAAAUCUGGCUGUCGAGAUGCCUAAAAAGCAUUUCAUAGCAAGGGUCGGGCAAGACCGGUGCCAGCCGCCGCGGUAACACCGGCGGCUCGAGUGGUAACCGUUAUUAUUGGGUCUAAAGGGUCUGUAGCCGGCCGGAUAAGUCUCUUGAGAAAUCUGGCAGCUUAACUGUCAGGCUUUCAGGAGAUACUGCCUGGCUCGAGGCCGGGAGAGGUGAGAGGUACUUCAGGGGUAGGGGUGAAAUCUUGUAAUCCUUGAAGGACCACCAGUGGCGAAGGCGUCUCACCAGAACGGACCUGACGGCAAGGGACGAAAGCUAGGGGCACGAACC